rnacentral:rRNA from 1 species
AACCGUGCAAAGGUAGCGUAAUCACUUGUCUUUUAAAUAAAGACCAGUAUGAAUGGCUAAAUGAGGGCGGACCUGUCUCCUGCGCCCAAUCAGUGAAAUUGAUCUCCUGGUACAAAAGCCAGAAUAAUAACAUAAGACGAGAAGACCCUGUGGAGCUUAAAAUUUAUUACUAUUCAAGAACUAGUAUUGAUUUUAAGUUGGGGCGACUUCGGAACAAAACAAAACUUCCGAGCAAGGAACAAACCACUUCCUAACAAGGCCCACAAGCCAACUUAGCCGACCCAGUCAUACUGAUCAACGAACCAAGUUACCCCAGGGAUAACAGCGCAAUCCCCUCCAAGAGUCCAUAUCGACAAGGGGGUUUACGACCUCGAUGUUGGAUCAGGACACCCCAAUGGUGCAGCCGCUAUUAAUGGUUCGUUUGUUCAACGAUUAACAGUCCUACGUGAUC